AAAUCCCAUAAGCUGCGUGGUGCCUCUCCCCAUCAAAAAAAAAGAAGGCAAUAUCUUGGGACCCCCACACAGAGGUACUGGGACAGAAGCUGCAUUUAACAAUACCCCUAUGUGAGUCACAUGCCAGUGAUGGUUCCAGAAGUUCUAGAAGGUUCUAAAGGCAGGACUGAAGAUCCAGCUGUCUCUGUGCUCAGUUCUGGGGUCUCACUGGCAAGACAGUGAUUCCCUAAGCAGCAGGCUGGUUACAAGGCUGGCUCUACAGACUUCCCACUCAGGCUGGCACUUGGGACCCUUGGCUGCAGUGCUUAUACCAGGACAAAUGUCUCCUUGAGCAACUAAAAAUGUAAAGAACCUAUACAAGGGACUGAAAUGAACAGAAUUCUAUCCUACAUCAAAGGAAUCAUUCACAGUUUACAAGAUACUUUCCAGUUUGGAAAUGAUCUUCCCCAGGACUCAGUGUGUGAGGUGGUGAUGACGGGUGGGCUUGUGACGGCGAGUACGACCGUGACAUGAGGAAAACGACAUCGGGCCUGGAGACGGUACGUGAAUGGGAAAGACAGGAACAGGCCCAGAAGAGGCACACCAAUGCGGGUCACCCAGAGGCCAGGGAGUCUUCAUGAACUCGGGAAAACCUCUAGACCCUCUCCUGCUGUCAAUAAACCCCAAGCCACCACUACCCCUCCAGCUUGGAGUGAAAUGGGUUGUGACCGUAAUAGCGAGUUAUAAGAAAUAGUCUGAACCACCAUGGUGGACUUAUUUUGCCCCAGAGACAAGGUGUGCUGGAGCUGG